rnacentral:rRNA from 1 species
GACGAACGCUGGCGGCGUGCCUAAUACAUGCAAGUCGAGCGCAGGAAGUCAACCGAACCCUUCGGGGGGACGUUGACGGAAUGAGCGGCGGACGGGUGAGUAACACGUAAAGAACCUGCCCUCAGGUCUGGGAUAACCACGAGAAAUCGGGGCUAAUACCGGAUGGGUCAUCGGACCGCAUGGUCCGAGGAUGAAAGGCGCUUCGGCGUCGCCUGGGGAUGGCUUUGCGGUGCAUUAGCUAGUUGGUGGGGUAACGGCCCACCAAGGCGACGAUGCAUAGCCGACCUGAGAGGGUGAUCGGCCACACUGGGACUGAGACACGGCCCAGACUCCUACGGGAGGCAGCAGUAGGGAAUCUUCCACAAUGGACGAAAGUCUGAUGGAGCAACGCCGCGUGAACGAUGAAGGCCUUUCGGGUCGUAAAGUUUCUGUUGUAAAGGGA